rnacentral:lncRNA from 1 species
UCUUUCCGGCGAAUCCCCGGCGAGUUAGGAGUUGAGGUAGGUAUCAAUCUCUUCGUCUCGUCAAGUAAUACAACUUUCCUUUUUGUUUCACUCAAUUUCGUUGAGUAUUGAAGAAGUUAUACUCAUUUGAAACUUACCCAGUUUCCGGCGACCUCCGAGGCUUUCGAGGAAGUUUCCGGCCACACCACGGCGAACUAGGUGUUUUUCAAGGUACCAUUAUCUUUGUCUCUUCAAGGGCUACAACUUUCGUUUUUGAAUCACUUGAUUUCGUUGAGAAAUGACAAAG